rnacentral:tRNA from 1 species
GUCGAGGUGGCUGGGCAGUAAAGCGCUUGACUUCUGAACAGGGGGUCCCGGGCUCGAAUCCUGGUUUAGACU